UCCUCGGUAGUAUAGUGGUCACUAUCCGCGUCGGUCACACGCAACACCCGGGUGCAAUUCCCGGCCGGGGAG